AAUCCAUGCAUAGGACAUUUCCUUAGGAAUUCUUUGAAUCUCUCCUAAGCCUCAUACAAACUUUCAUCCUUAAUUUGCUUGAAUGAAGUCAGAUUGUUUUGCAGCUU